CCAGAUAAGGAAACUGGGGACCAGUGCAAAAAAAGAGAUUUGCCCAAGGUCACCCAGGAGAGAAGUUGUGAAGUCUCUUUAAGGCUGUAUUUCCUGCUGGGUUGUUAAACACAGUGGGGACACCCAACUUGGAGGGUUCUGGUAUUUUUGUUUACAGUUCUUACUCUGCUUUUAACCCAACAAAUAUGAACCAAUAAAUAUCAACUUCUUA